UAUUGGAAAGAAAAGGACAGCAAUACGAUCCUGGACUCCCAGGAAGGGGAGACGCUGAAGACUAAUGAUACAUACAUGAAGUUUAGCUGGCUUACUGUGCCUGAAGGGUCAAUGGGUAAAGAGCACAGAUGUAUUGUCAAACACGAGAACAACAAAGGAGGAGCAGACCAAGAGAUUUUCUUUCCUUCAAUAAAGAAAGUUGCUCUGAGUACCCAGCCUACAACUUGCUGGCAAGAUAAAAACGAUGUGCUGCAGCUCCAGUUCACGGGCACCUCUGCCUACUAUACUUACCUGCUCCUGCUCCUCAAGAGCGUGCUCUACUUGGCCAUCAUCAGCUUCUUUCUGCUUAGAAGAACAGCUUCCUGUGGCAAUAAGAAGAGAUCCUAAGGAAAUAAACGGUGGACCAGCAAGUCCAUUGAUUUUCAUCCUUACUGUCAUAAAGGUGACUUAUGGGGGUCCAGCUGCCUUCUCUUGCUGGCUUUGACUUCUGUAAAGUCACAUGCACAGCAUUCUGUUAUUGUGCAAACAUUUUUCUCACAUUUGUAAGCAAUUUCAGCAACUUCUCUCUAACUGAGCUCACCUUCCUGAUUCCAUCCUCUCCAGCAGUCCCCUCCCCCAGAAGCCCAAAGUAUCAAAGCUCUGGUACACAUAGGCUGCAGGAUUUACCCACGGCAUUUGUUGCUCUUGAACCAGUCAACUCUCUGAAAGCCUCCGCUCUAGACAACCUGAAGAGCCUUCUUUAUUGUUGGAUUCUGUGCCUUGUAUUUCAUAUUAGAGACAAUAAAUAUUUUUUAAAAAUCAG
rnacentral:lncRNA from 1 species